rnacentral:rRNA from 1 species
CGGUAACAGAUCCAGCUUGCUGGAUGCUGACGAGCGGCGGACGGGUGAGUAAUGCAUAGGAAUCUGCCCGAUAGUGGGGGAUAACCUGGGGAAACCCAGGCUAAUACCGCAUACGUCCUACGGGAGAAAGGGGGCUCCGGCUCCCGCUAUGGGAUGAGCCUAUGUCGGAUUAGCUAGUUGGUGAGGUAACGGCUCACCAAGGCCACGAUCCGUAGCUGGUCUGAGAGGAUGAUCAGCCACAUCGGGACUGAGACACGGCCCGAACUCCUACGGGAGGCAGCAGUGGGGAAUAUUGGACAAUGGGGGAAACCCUGAUCCAGCCAUGCCGCGUGUGUGAAGAAGGCCCUCGGGUUGUAAAGCACUUUCAGCGAGGAAGAACGCCUAGCGGUUAAUACCCGCUAGGAAAGACAUCACUCGCAGAAGAAGCACCGGCUAACUCCGUGCCAGCAGCCGCGGUAAUACGGAGGGUGCAAGCGUUAAUCGGAAUUACUGGGCGUAAAGCGCGCGUAGGUGGCUUGAUAAGCCGGUUGUGAAAGCCCCGGGCUCAACCUGGGAUCGGCAUCCGGAACUGUCAAGCUAGAGUGCAGGAGAGGAAGGUAGAAUUCCCGGUGUAGCGGUGAAAUGCGUAGAGAUCGGGAGGAAUACCAGUGGCGAAGGCGGCCUUCUGGACUGACACUGACACUGAGGUGCGAAAGCGUGGGUAGCAAACAGGAUUAGAUACCCUGGUAGUCCACGCCGUAAACGAUGUC